rnacentral:RNase_P_RNA from 1 species
GGGUUCCCGGGAAACUGAGGAAAGUCUGCCCACCAUUAAAAGGCGACUCGGAGAAAUCUGAGAUUCAGUAAUGGAUGGCUCCAUCACAGAAACGGACCUUGCAUGAGGAGGAUGAUGCGUGACUCCCGUGGUGACACGGGCAUACGCGUUGACGCUCUCAUGCGAUUGGAUGAAACGGAUAGCCCUCGUUGGUGCAAGCACAGAACGUGCGCUAAGUAGAAUGCCCUGAACGCCUGUCCCGGCGGUUAAAACCCGUCACCAGUGUGUUAUCAUUGGUUUUGGAGGCGUACAAAAGGUAGCUUAUGCUUACCC